rnacentral:rRNA from 1 species
CCUACGGGGUGCAGCAGUGGGGAAUAUUGCACAAUGGGGGAAACCCUGAUGCAGCGACGCCGCGUGAGUGAAGAAGUAUUUCGGUAUGUAAAGCUCUAUCAGCAGGGAAGAAAUAGCGACCUUUGGUUCGCCAGACGGUACCUGACUAAGAAGCCCCGGCUAACUACGUGCCAGCAGCCGCGGUAAUACGGAGGGGGCAAGCGUUAUCCGGAUUUACUGGGUGUAAAGGGAGCGUAGACGGCAGCACAAGUCUGAAGUGAAAUGCCGGGGCUUAACCCCGGAACUGCUUUGGAAACUGUGCAGCUAGAGUGCAGGAGAGGUAAGUGGAAUUCCUAGUGUAGCGGUGAAAUGCGUAGAUAUUAGGAGGAACACCAGUGGCGAAGGCAGCUUACUGGACUGUAACUGACGUUGAGGCUCGAAAGCGUGGGGAGCAAACAGGAUUAGAUACCCUAGUAGUC